rnacentral:rRNA from 1 species
UAAAGCAAGAAAGGGCGUAUGGGGAAUGCCUAGGCACACUCCGGCGAAGAAGGACGCAGCAAACAGCGAAAUGCGACGGGAAGCGGUAAGCACGCAAAGAUCCGUCGAUAUCCGAAUGGGGGAACCCGCAUGGAGUCAAAUCCAUGGAUCACAUGUUGAAUACAUAGACAUGAUGAGGCGAGACGCAGGGAACUGAAACAUCUAAGUACCUGCAGGAAGAGAAAAUAAGAAUGAUUUUCUGAGUAGCGGCGAGCGAAAGGGAAAGAGCCCAAACCGAUCUGAGGAUCGGGGUAGUAGGAUCAUCGAUAAAUCAAACAGAGGAUCAUAGAGGAAUCACAUGGGAAGGUGAGCGAGAGAGGGUGAGAGCCCCGUACUCGAAAUGAGAGACUGGAGAGAGAUGACACCUGAGUAGGGCGGGACACGAGGAAUCCUGUCUGAAUCGGCCGGGACCAUCCGGCAAGGCUAAAUACGAGAGUAGUGACCGAUAGUGAACCAGUACCGUGAGGGAAAGGUGAAAAGAACCCCGGGAGGGGAGUGAAAGAGAACCUGAAACCAUAUGCCUACAAGAAGUCAGAGCCCGUUAAAGGGUGAUGGCGUGCCUUUUGUAGAAUGAACCGGCGAGUUACUGUAUGGAGCGAGGUUAAGCAGGAUAUGCGGAGCCGAAGCGAAAGCGAGUCUUAAGAGGGCGAAAGUUGCAUGCAGUAGACCCGAAACCGGGUGAUCUAUCCAUGAGCAGGUUGAAGUUGGGGUAAAACCCGAUGGAGGACCGAACCGACCCCCGUUGAAACGUUGGCGGAUGAGUUGUGGCUAGGGGUGAAAUUCCAAUCGAACCCGGAGAUAGCUGGUUCUCCCCGAAAUAGCUUUAGGGCUAGCGUCGAGGUAGAGAGUUGCGUGAAGGUAGAGCACUGAAUAUGUGAUGGCCCCAUCUCGGGGUACUGAGCAUAAUCAAACUGCGAAUGUCACGGAAACAUACUCGGCAGUCAGACAGCGGGUGAUAAGGUCCGUUGUCAAGAGGGAAACAGCCCAGACCAUCAGCUAAGGUCCCAAAAUGUAUGCUAAGUGGAAAAGGAUGUGGAGAUGUACAGACAACUAGGAGGUUGGCUCAGAAGCAGCCAUCCUUUAAAGAGUGCGUAACAGCUCACUAGUCGAAUGACUCUGCGCCGAUAAUUUACCGGGGCUAAGCAUACUACCGAAGCUAUGGAUCCCAAGGGAUGGUAGGGGAGCGUUCCAUGAACGGAGAAGUACGACCGAAAGGACGUGUGGAGAUCAUGGAAGAGAGAAUGCCGGUGUGAGUAGCGGAACGUGGGUGAGAAUCCCACGCACCGAAAACCCAAGGUUUCCAGAGGAAGGUUCGUCCGCUCUGGGUAAGUCGGGACCUAAGGCGAGGCCGAGAGGCGUAGUCGAUGGACAACAGGUAGAGAUUCCUGUACUCAUAUAUAUGUGAAGGAAUGACGGAGAGAGGAAGCUGCAGCCAGCGGCUGGAAGAGCUGGUGCAAGCGAGAUAUCGGGAUGGCAGGCAAAUCCACCAUCCGAAACGAGAAGGCGUGAAGCGUACGGAAAGCUACGGCGAGUACGGAAGGCAGUGGAGGAACUUCCAAGAAAAGUUUCUAACGUUAAGUAUAUAUGGCCCGUACCGAAAAUGGACACACAUGGGUGAGGAGAGAAUCCUAAGGUGAGCGAGAGAACUAUAGCUAAGGAACUCUGCAAAAUGACUCCGUAACUUAGGGAGAAGGAGUGCUCAUAGAGAUAUGAGCCGCAGUGAAACGGCCCAAGCGACUGUUUACCAAAAACACAGCUCUCUGCUAAGCCGCAAGGCGAAGUAUAGGGGGUGACGCCUGCCCGGUGCUGGAAGGUUAAGGGGAGGGGUUAACGCAAGUGAAGCCCUGAACUGAAGCCCCAGUAAACGGCGGCCGUAACUAUAACGGUCCUAAGGUAGCGAAAUUCCUUGUCAGGUAAGUUCUGACCC